rnacentral:rRNA from 1 species
GACGAACGCUGGCGGCGUGCCUAACACAUGCAAGUCGAACGGAAAGGCCCGGCUUUUGGGGGCUGCUCGAGGGGCGAACGGGUGAGUAACACGUGAGUAACCUGUCCCUGACUUUGGGAUAACUUCAGGAAACUGGGGCUAUUACCGGAUAGGAGCUCCUGCUGCAGGGUGGGGGUUGGAAAGUUUCGGUGGUUGGGGAUGUACUCGCGGCUUAUCGGCUUGAUGGAGGGGUAGUGGCUUACCAAGGCUUUGAAGGGUGGCAUGCCUGGUAGGGUGACCGGCCACGUUGGACCUGGAAUGCGGCCCAGCCUCGUCCGGGAGGCAGCAGUGGAGAAGGGUGCACAGUGGGCGGGGGCCUGAUGCGACACCGCCGCGUGCGGGGUGAGAGGCUUCGGGUUGGAAACCGCUUUCGCUUGAGCCGAGGCGUGAGUGACGGUAAUGGGUGAAGAAGCACCGGCUAACUACGUG